rnacentral:lncRNA from 1 species
UGUAAGAAAUAUGGCCAUAUAGAAAGAUUUUGUCGAUAGAAAAAGAAGAAUAAUUCUCAAGUUGAUGCUAACUAUGUUGAAUUCGAUAUUCUUUUUGCUUGCUAUACCAUAAAUACAAAUUUGGAAAAUAUUUAGUAUUUGGAUAGUGGUUGCAGUGCUCACAUGACAGAAAGAGAAGAUAUAUUUAUUGAGUUGGACAGAUUGAUUCGAAGGCCGUUAAAAAUAGGAGAUGGUCGUAUUUGUGAAGCACAAGGUAAAUGAGUUGUAAAGUUAAACUUUAAUGGUAUCACAGAAAUAUCGGAUGUUCUUAUAUUCCUGGUUUGGAUGCAAAUUUAUUU